rnacentral:snRNA from 1 species
GUUCUUACUUCAGCAGUACAUAUAAUAAAAUUGGAAUGAUAUAGAAAAGAUUAGCAUGGCCCAUGUGGCACACAAAUUCAUGAAGUGUUCUAUGUUAAA